AGACCCGAAACCCGGUGAUCUAGCCAUGGGCAGGUUGAAGGUUGGGUAACACUAACUGGAGGACCGAACCGACUAAUGUUGAAAAAUUAGCGGAUGACCUGUGGCUGGGGGUGAAAGGCCAAUCAAACCGGGAGAUAGCUGGUUCUCCCCGAAAGCUAUUUAGGUAGCGCCUCGUGAAUUCAUCUCCGGGGGUAGAGCACUGUUUCGGCUAGGGGGCCAUCCCGGCUUACCAACCCGAUGCAAACUGCGAAUACCGGAGAAUGUUAUCACGGGAGACACACGGCGGGUGCUAACGUCCGUCGUGAAGAGGGAAACAACCCAGACCGCCAGCUAAGGUCCCAAAGUCAUGGUUAAGUGGGAAACGAUGUGGGAAGGCCCAGACAGCCAGGAUGUUGGCUUAGAAGCAGCCAUCAUUUAAAGAAAGCGUAAUAGCUCACUGGUCGAGUCGGCCUGCGCGGAAGAUGUAACGGGGCUAAACCAUGCACCGAAGCUGCGGCAGCGAACGUAUCACCCAAGACAACUUUACGGAGUUGACGAUUGACGGAGCGAAGCGACGUCAAAGCGUAUACAAAGUCGAGUUGGCUUAGGGAUACGUUCGUUGGGUAGGGGAGCGUUCUGUAAGCCUGCGAAGGUGGCCUGUGAGGGUUGCUGGAGGUAUCAGAAGUGCGAAUGCUGACAUAAGUAACGAUAAAGCGGGUGAAAAGCCCGCUCGCCGGAAGACCAAGGGUUCCUGUCCAACGUUAAUCGGGGCAGGGUGAGUCGACCCCUAAGGCGAGGCCGAAAGGCGUAGUCGAUGGGAAACGGGUUAAUAUUCCCGUACUUGGUGUUACUGCGAAGGGGGGACGGAGAAGGCUAUGUUGGCCGGGCGACGGUUGUCCCGGUUUAAGCGUGUAGGUGUGUGUUCCAGGUAAAUCCGGUUCACUUUAACACUGAGGCGUGAUGACGAGGCACUACGGUGCUGAAGCAACAAAUGCCCUGCUUCCAGGAAAAGCCUCUAAGCAUCAGGUAACAUCAAAUCGUACCCCAAACCGACACAGGUGGUCAGGUAGAGAAUACCAAGGCGCUUGAGAGAACUCGGGUGAAGGAACUAGGCAAAAUGGUGCCGUAACUUCGGGAGAAGGCACGCUGACACGUAGGUGAAGUGAUUUACUCAUGGAGCUGAAGUCAGUCGAAGAUACCAGCUGGCUGCAACUGUUUAUUAAAAACACAGCACUGUGCAAACACGAAAGUGGACGUAUACGGUGUGACGCCUGCCCGGUGCCGGAAGGUUAAUUGAUGGGGUCAGCGCAAGCGAAGCUCCUGAUCGAAGCCCCGGUAAACGGCGGCCGUAACUAUAACGGUCCUAAGGUAGCGAAAUUCCUUGUCGGGUAAGUUCCGACCUGCACGAAUGGCGUAAUGAUGGCCAGGCUGUCUCCACCCGAGACUCAGUGAAAUUGAACUCGCUGUGAAGAUGCAGUGUACCCGCGGCAAGACGGAAAGACCCCGUGAACCUUUACUAUAGCUUGACACUGAACAUUGAGCCUUGAUGUGUAGGAUAGGUGGGAGGCUUUGAAGUGUGGACGCCAGUCUGCAUGGAGCCGACCUUGAAAUACCACCCUUUAAUGUUUGAUGUUCUAACGUGGACCCGUAAUCCGGGUUGCGGACAGUGUCUGGUGGGUAGUUUGACUGGGGCGGUCUCCUCCUAAAGAGUAACGGAGGAGCACGAAGGUUGGCUAAUCCUGGUCGGACAUCAGGAGGUUAGUGCAAUGGCAUAAGCCAGCUUGACUGCGAGCGUGACGGCGCGAGCAGGUGCGAAAGCAGGUCAUAGUGAUCCGGUGGUUCUGAAUGGAAGGGCCAUCGCUCAACGGAUAAAAGGUACUCCGGGGAUAACAGGCUGAUACCGCCCAAGAGUUCAUAUCGACGGCGGUGUUUGGCACCUCGAUGUCGGCUCAUCACAUCCUGGGGCUGAAGUAGGUCCCAAGGGUAUGGCUGUUCGCCAUUUAAAGUGGUACGCGAGCUGGGUUUAGAACGUCGUGAGACAGUUCGGUCCCUAUCUGCCGUGGGCGCUGGAGAACUGAGGGGGGCUGCUCCUAGUACGAGAGGACCGGAGUGGACGCAUCACUGGUGUUCGGGUUGUCAUGCCAAUGGCACU
rnacentral:rRNA from 1 species